UCGGGAAUUUUGGGCAAUGGGGGAAACCCUGACCCAGCAACGCCGCGUGAAGGAUGAAGUAUUUCGGUAUGUAAACUUCGAAAGAAUAGGAAGAAUAAAUGACGGUACUAUUUAUAAGGUCCGGCUAACUACGUGCCAGCAGCCGCGGUAAUACGUAGGGACCAAGCGUUGUUCGGAUUUACUGGGCGUAAAGGGCGCGUAGGCGGCAUGACAAGUCACUUGUGAAAUCUCUGGGCUUAACCCAGAACGGCCAAGUGAUACUGUCGCGCUAGAGUGCAGAAGGGGCAAUCGGAAUUCUUGGUGUAGCGGUGAAAUGCGUAGAGAUGUGGAGGAACACCGAUGGCGAAGGCAGCCUCCUGGGCCAACACUGACGCUCAUGCACGAAAGCGUGGGUAG
rnacentral:rRNA from 1 species